rnacentral:rRNA from 1 species
UGAGGAAUAUUGGGCAAUGCCCGCAAGGGUGACCCAGCAACGCCGCGUGGAGGAUGAAUGUCGUAAGAUUGUAAACUCCUGUUAGAGGGGAAGAAUAGUACCGGUUGGACCGGUAUAUGACUGUACCCUCAGAGAAAGCCCCGGCUAACUACGUGCCAGCAGCCGCGGUAAUACGUAGGGGGCAAGCGUUGUCCGGAUUUACUGGGUGUAAAGGGCGCGCAGGCGGAAUGGAAAGUCGGUGGUGAAAUCCUACAGCUUAACUGUAGAACUGCCUUUGAUACUUUCAUUCUUGAGUUCGGGAGAGAGAGACGGAAUUCCAGGUGUAGUGGUGAAAUACGUAGAUAUCUGGAAGAACACCAGUUGCGAAGGCGGUCUCUUGGUCCGAUACUGACGCUGAGGCGCGAAAGCGUGGGGAGCAAACA